rnacentral:rRNA from 1 species
UACAGAGGGUGCGAGCGUUAAUCGGAAUUACUGGGCGUAAAGCGUGCGUAGACGGUUAUCUAAGUCGGAUGUGAAAGCCCCGGGCUCAACCUGGGGAUUGCAUUCGAGACUGAAUAGCUAGGGUGCGGUAGAGGGAAGCGGAAUUUCCGGUGUAGCGGUGAAAUGCGUAGAUAUCGGAAGGAACAUCAGUGGCGAAAGCGGCUUCCUGGACCAGCACCGACGUUCAGGCACGAAAGCGUGGGGAGCAAAAGGG